GCAAAAGAAGGGCGUAUGGGGGAUGCCUGGGCUCUCAGAGGCGAAGAAGGACGUGAUAAGCUGCGAAAAGCCACGGGGAACUGCACACGAGUGUUGAUCCGUGGAUAUCCGAAUGGGGCAACCCGGCUGGUUGAAGGCCAGUCACACCGCAAGGUGGGCAAACCCGCUGAACUGAAACAUCUAAGUAGGCGGAGGAAGAGAAAACAAAAGUGAUUCCGAUAGUAGUGGCGAGCGAAAUCGGAUUAGUCCAAACCAUUGUUGUUUCGGCAACAAUGGGGUUGUAGGACCACGACAUUUGGUGCGCAAUGAAUUAGAACCCUUUGGAAAGAGGGGCCGUAGACGGUGACAGCCCGGUACAAGUAAAGCGCGUUACCAAUAGUGGUAUCCUGAGUAGUGCGGGGCACGUGAAACCCUGUAUGAAUCCGGCGGGACCAUCCGCCAAGACUAAAUACUCCUGAGAGACCGAUAGUGAACCAGUACCGUG
rnacentral:rRNA from 1 species